rnacentral:rRNA from 1 species
GUAAUCUUGGGGCUUAACCCUGAGCGUGCUUUCGAUACGGGUUGACUUGAGGAAGGUAGGGGAGAGUGGAAUUCCAGGUGUAGCGGUGAAAUGCGUAGAUAUCUGGAGGAACACCAGUGGCGAAGGCGGUUCUCUGGGCCUUUCCUGACGCUGAGGAGCGAAAGCGUGGGGAGCGAACAGGCUUAGAUACCCUGGUAGUCCACGCUGUAAACGGUGGGUACUAGGUGUGGGGUCCAUUCCACGGGUUCCGUGCCGUAGCUAACGCUUUAAGUACCCCGCCUGGGGAGUACGGCCGCAAGGCUAAAACUCAAAGGAAUUGACGGGGCCCCGCACAAGCGGCGGAGCAUGCGGAUUAAUUCGAUGCAACGCGUAGAACCUUACCUGGGUUUGACAUGGAUCGGGAGUGCUCAGAGAUGGGUGUGCCUCUUUUGGGGUCGCUUCACAGGUGGUGNNNNNNNNNAGCGCAACCCUUGUUCACUGUUGCCAGCACGUUAUGGUGGGGACUCAGUGGAGACCGCCGGGGUCAACUCGGAGGAAGGUGGGGAUGACGUCAAGUCAUCAUGCCCCUUAUGUCCAGGGCUUCACGCAUGCUACAAUGGCUGGUACAGAGAGUGGCGAGCCUGUGAGGGUGAGCGAAUCUCGGAAAGCCGGUCUCAGUUCGGAUUGGGGUCUGCAACUCGACCUCAUGAAGUCGGAGUCGCUAGUAAUCGCAGAUCAGCAACGCUGCGGUGAAUACGUUCCCGGGGCUUGUACACACCGCCCGUCAAGUCAUGAAAGUUGGUAACACCCGAAGCCGGUGGCCUAACCGUUGUGGGGGAGCCGUCGAAGGUGGGACUGGUGAUUAGGACUAAGUCGUAACAAGGUAGCCGUAUCGGAAGGUGCGGCUGGAUCACCUCCUUUUUAAGGAG